rnacentral:rRNA from 1 species
UUCGUAGGUGGCUAACUAAGUCAGACGUGAAAUCCCUCAGCUUAACUGGGGAACUGCGUCUGAAACUGGAUAGCUUGAGUGCAGGAGAGGAACGCGGAAUUCCAGGUGUAGCGGUGAAAUGCGUAGAUAUCUGGAGGAACACCGGUGGCGAAGGCGGCGUUCUGGACUGCAACUGACACUGAGGAACGAAAGCCAGGGAGGCAAACG